UACGUAGGGUGCAAGCGUUGUCCGGAAUUAUUGGGCGUAAAGAGCUCGUAGGCGGUCUGUCGCGUCUGCUGUGAAAACUCAGGGCUUAACCCUGAGCUUGCAGUGGGUACGGGCAGACUAGAGUGCGGUAGGGGAGACUGGAAUUCCUGGUGUAGCGGUGAAAUGCGCAGAUAUCAGGAGGAACACCAAUGGCGAAGGCAGAUCUCUGGGCCGUAACUGACGCUGGAGGAAGCGAAAGCAUGGGGAGCGAACAGG
rnacentral:rRNA from 1 species